rnacentral:ncRNA from 1 species
AGGAGCCGGAUGAGGUCGAAAGUCUCAUGUCCGGUUCUGAAGACUGGCACCGUAGGGUGAAGCAUAGAUGCGAAGUAGGCAAAGACGUGACCUGCGAUGCCAAGUUUAACUGGGUUGAAAAAUAUUAUCGCUCAUCUUGGU